GUCGGGUAAGUUCCGAC
rnacentral:rRNA from 1 species